rnacentral:misc_RNA from 1 species
UACGAACUGUGCGAACGUUAUUCGGAAUCACUGGGCUUACAGGGUGCGUAGGCGGCCUUCCAAGUCAGGUGUGAAAUCCCCCAGCUCAACUGGGGAACUGCGCUUGAAACUGGAGGGCUGGAGGCAACUAGAGGUGCAUGGAACUUCCGGUGGAGCGGUGAAAUGUGUUGAUAUCGGAAGGAACACCAGAGGCGAAAGCGAUGCACUGGGGUUGAUCUGACGCUGAGGCACGAAAGCCAGGGGAGCGAACGGG